UACGUAGGGUGCGAGCGUUGUCCGGAAUUAUUGGGCGUAAAGAGCUCGUAGGCGGUUCGGUAAGUCGGGUGUGAAAACUUUGGGCUUAACCCAAAGACUGCACUCGAUACUGCUGUGACUUGAGUCCGGUAGGGGAGUGGGGAAUUCCUGGUGUAGCGGUGGAAUGCGCAGAUAUCAGGAGGAACACCGGUGGCGAAGGCGCCACUCUGGGCCGGUACUGACGCUGAGGAGCGAAAGCGUGGGGAGCGAACAGG
rnacentral:rRNA from 1 species